AUGGAGUUUGGACUGAGCUGGGUUUUCCUUGUUGCUAUUUUCAAAGGUGUCCAGUGUGAGGCGCAGCUGGUGGAGUCUGGGGGAGGCUUGGUACAGCCUGGGGGGUCCCUGAGACUCUCCUGUGCAGCCUCUGGAUUCACCUUCAGUAGCACCAGGAUGAACUGGAUCCGACAGUCUCCAGGGAAGAGGCUGGAGUGGGUGGCCGACAUAAAGUAGGAUGGAAGUGAGAAAUACUAUGUAGACUCUGUGAAGGGCCGAUUCACCAUCUCCAGAGACAACACCAAGAACUCCCUCUAUCUGCAAAUGAACAGCCUGAGAGCUGAGGACACAGCCGUGUAUUACUGUGUGAGAGACACAGAUUCAAGUUUCACAAGCAGUGAGGGAGAAAUGGGGAGU